UAAUUAUUAAAUUAUUUCCUCGAAUACCAAUUGAUUGAUUGGGAGAUCACCUGGAGGGGCAGUCCUGAGCUGAGAAGUUUGUGUGAGGUGAAGGUUCAAGGAGGUGUUUCCGCUGCAGCCAGGUGGGAAAAGACGCCAGUUUAAUGAGAAUUAGGGCCGGGAAAUGUGCUGGAGUUAUACAAAGAAGGAGAAGGAAAUGAAGAUUAACAGCGGAGGGUGCAUCAGGGUGCAGGAGAUCUCAGAGACGCUACUGAUCCAGAUCCAGCCCAGGUGCCCAAGCUCCAGACUCGGGAGAGAAGGAGGGUGGUUAAAGAUGAGGCCACUGCUGAGGCUGCUGCUUUAGAAACAGAGACUCCUGAAACAUGACACUGCAGCAACAGAGAGAUGAGGAAGCCAAAGAUUAAAUCUGCACUCAGAAAGACUGCUCAGGUCCAAUAAAUGUUGAAAGGAA